AUGGCGUGGCGGCGGCGGUAUCCUCGUGGUGGACCUGUGUCCUCGGGCUCCGUCGCUGCGACGACGUUUGCUCCAGCGUCGGCGUGGAGCUUGGGAGGUAGUCCAGGAGCGGAUGCAGAUUGUGUUCUGCAUCGACGACAUCUGGAAGACAAAUGUGUGCUGGGUUCGUGGUUCGUGGAUGGCAGGUAUGGUUUCCUCCUUCGGCGUCUUAGUCGUGGUGGGGUGCCAGAUCUGGAGUUCGAAGGCGUGUCCGGGGUGUUGCCCCGGUCUGAUUCGUUCAACGGCAAUGGCUUCACUUUUGGUGAGCCACCUUGGAGGUCCGCAAAGCUACAUAUCAGCGAUGGAGCCGCGUCGAGCUCGGGUGAGGAGGUGAUCCGUCAUUCUUUUCUUCGGUGGCUGCUGUGGUGGGCAAAACCUGACACCUCCAAGACAAGACACUCCGUGGUGCUUACCCCUGAUGAGAGCAACACUGGUGAAGCACAAGUCAACCCUUGCUGCCUGAUGUAUGUUGGAACCUGCAAAGUGACCGCCUUUAAGCAAAAAGGAGGAGUUGAAAAGGUUGCAAGAUCUUGGUUAUAUUUCACGGGGUCAAUCCAUCCAUCCAUAGCCGCACUACUGUCUUCUCUUCUCCAGCGGACAGGAAUAACUGCACAAAAUGCAGCUCCCUCAAAUGAAUGGUUCUUCAUUAAACUCAGCCAUUUGGCACAAGGCGAUUUUAACAUCAGUAUAAGAGCUGCUGCAUGCAAGAUAUACACGAGUUACAGUUAUGAAGAUACGAUAAUAUUUGGGUAUAAAUCGAGAUAUAUCUUUGUAAAGAAGUACAAUGAGGAGUGCUUUUUACUGUGCCACUACAACAAACACUUCCUGAUGGUUGGACAAUGUUGCAGAGCAAACUCCCUUUCAGGAAAAAGACUGAGGUGGACUGAGGUUUCAGCUGGAGCUCCAAUAGUCACUGCAUCCCCCCUUGAGACACAAGGCAUUCCUCCCGCCAUCCUUUAA
rnacentral:rRNA from 1 species